rnacentral:misc_RNA from 1 species
AACUAUGCCAUCUAUAGAGGUUGGCACAGUUGGGGGUGGGACUCAGCUCGCUUCCCAGUCAGCCUGUUUGGAACUCCUUGGUGUAAAGGGUGCAUGUAUGGAAUCCCCUGGUGACAAUGCUCGUCUUUUGGCGACCAUCGUAGCGGCGUCAGUUCUUGCCGGAGAGCUCUCUCUGAUGUCGGCUCUUGCUGCCGGUCAGCUUGUGAAGAGUCACAUGAAGUAC